rnacentral:rRNA from 1 species
UGGGGAAUCUUGCACAAUGGGCGAAAGCCUGAUGCAGCGACGCCGCGUGCGGGAUGAAGGCCUUCGGGUUGUAAACCGCUUUCAGCAGGGACGAGGCGAAAGUGACGGUACCUGCAGAAGAAGCCCCGGCUAACUACGUGCCAGCAGCCGCGGUAAUACGUAGGGGGCAAGCGUUAUCCGGAUUCAUUGGGCGUAAAGCGCUCGUAGGCGGUCUGUUAGGUCGGGAGUUAAAUCCGGGGGCUCAACCCCCGUUCGCUCCCGAUACCGGCAGACUUGAGUUUGGUAGGGGAAGGUGGAAUUCCUAGUGUAGCGGUGGAAUGCGCAGAUAUUAGGAAGAACACCAGUGGCGAAGGCGGCCUUCUGGGCCAUAACUGACGCUGAGGAGCGAAAGCUAGGGGAGCAAACAGGAUUAGAUACCCUGGUAGUCCUAGCCGUAAACGAUGGACACUAGGUGUGGGGGGAAUAUUUCUUCCGUGCCGCAGCUAACGCAUUANNNNUUCCCCCCCNNGNGAANGGCCCCCGGG